rnacentral:lncRNA from 1 species
GAGGCUUCAAUCCCUUCUCUAUCUCUUUGACGUUUGGAAAUUCUAUCGGAACAGUUAGAGGGAAAAAAAUUGGAGGAAUCUCAGGGAACCGCUAGAGAUGCUGCUAUUGUUGGCUGAAGACACGUGAGCCCGCUUAGAGGUAAGGGAUGAGUUAUUCACAAUUGGGAAUUAGUGAGAACAUGUGUAGGGAUCCUUAGAAAUAUCAAUUGGAAUGGGUUUUGGGGUGUUUUUGCAAUUUUCAUUUUAUCUUUAUAAUUAUUACAGUGAAUUAUAUAUGUUUAACAUACCAAUUGUUGUGAAAUUGAUAUGCUAUUGUGUUGAGCGUGAACCCUAUAAAUCGAGUACUUUUUCUAAUUAAUAUGAAUUGAUGAAAUAAAGUAAGGAGAAAUUUAGAGAGAUAUUGAUUUUGUAUUUUCUCUUUUUCUUGCUGUUUAGGUUUUUAUAUAUAAUUUAAAAAAUUAAUAUCAUAAUUGAAAUUGACCAAAGUGUUCAUAUAAUUAUUUAGAAUUUGUGCAUUGAAAGCUUACUUUGUAACUUGUGAUUCAAUAUGAUGUAUGCUAGUUUAUAUAUAGAGAGAGGUAGUUAUUUAUAUUAAUAAUUUAUGUAAAUAAUAUUGUAGAGUGUUAUAGUAUGAUUCCAAAAAUUAUUAAGUGUUGGAGUUUGAGAAUAUUAUGGUUAAAUUUGAUGAACAUGUGUAUGUUGUACCUUAUGAAUAUCAUUGGGAAUGUUAUGAGAUGAUUGAUGUGAUGUUAUGAGAUGUUAAAGUGUGGACAUGAUAUUCGAUUGUGAAUAAGUGGAUGUGUUAACACUUGAUGUUACAUUAAUUAUAUCGUGAGUUAUGAAUUAUACAAUAGCCCGACCAGUGUUUAUGCGUAGUGUUAAAGAGAAAGUGUAUGUUCCUAGUUAGGAACCAGUGUUAAAUUGUAGCGCAAUUGUGUUAAACAUGUUUGAAACAUGAGUGUGAGGUCGUGGUAUUGUAUAAUUCAUGAGCAGUGCUUAUAAAUAAAAUAUGUGAUGAAUUAUGGAAUGAUAUGUUGCCUUGAGAUUAUAAUAUUGUUAUUGAGAUUGAGUAAAAGUGUAAAGUAGAACAGGUGUUGAAUUGUGAAAUACGUGAAAACAUGUGAUGGUGGAUUGUGACAUUAUGAGAUGUGAAAUUGUGAAUGAGUUUUGGUUGUGAAUAAGUGUGUGAUUAACUCUUGAUGCGACAUUAUUUGUGUUGUAAGCUUUGAAUUGUACAAUAACCCGACCAGUGUUAUCUUGAGAAAAGUGCAAAUGCGCAGUGUUAAAGAGAAAGUGUAGGUUUCCUAUUUAGGAACCAGUGUUAAAGAGAAAGUGUAUGUUCUUAUUUAGGAACCAACGUUAAAUUGUAGCGCAAUAUGUUGUACGUGCUUAAGACACGAGUGUGAGGUCGUGGGUAUUGUAUAAUUCACUAGCAGUGUCUGUGUGCUAAAAUGAUUUUAGGGGUUGGACCUAAAUCAGGAGGGAGAGGCCCUGACGGACUCUUCAGAGUGUAGGCCUUGGGGGUCACCGGGUUUGACUGCUCCUUUAAGCCUAUGCUGAUCCCAUAUGGUUGGAGCAUUCUCGCAAAAUAUCGUGACCCUGACUGAUCUCCCUAUAAUCUUACUUAGUGAGAGUGACCUGGCAAACCCAUUGUGUGGUGUGUCUUGUUAUGUACUCCAAAGCGCCCUAGGGUGGUUUUUCACUGACAUGGUACCACAUUGCAUGUAGGCUUGAGUCUUAGCAUAAUUGUCUCAUGCGCUUGCUAAUUGUUUAUUAUGAAAUUGAGGUGUUAUUAUGUCUUGAUCAGAACGUGUGAUUCUUGUGUAAUGCGAUUGAUGAUUGAAAAGUGUGAUUGAUGGAUGAAAAGUGAAUUUUGAAUAACAAAGUGAUGAAAUAAUGUGAGAUAUGCUAAGUAAAUUGUAUUUGGCUACUAUAUGUUGUUUUGUUUCUCUCUAGUAGUUAGGAAUGUGAUAACUCACUCCCGGUUUGCUGUUUGUAUUUGGGUCCUGUGAUGAUCUUGAACCUUGUGUUCGGGGGAGCAGAUGGCUAGGUGAAGUUCUUAAAGGAACCUUGUACUGAAGGACGUCGAGACACAAUGCUCUGAUAAGAUGUGACAAUGGGGCAUAAGUUUUAUAUUAAUUGCAUAAUGUUAGUCUAUUUUAUUUUAUCUCACUGAUUUAACAAAAUAUUUUUGAAAAUUUUGACGGCCUUGUUUCGAGCCGAAUAUAUUUUUAAUAAGUUUUAAUUGAUAAUAGUGAAGUGAAUGUAAACCUUUUACCCGUGUGAAUUUGGUUACCGAUAUUUUUUUUAUAUAUUUUAUUUAUUUAUAUGUCAGGGUAGAGGGUGUCACAAGAACUGCCUUCGUACACGUGAAUUUACAAAAUUGCCAUUGCGUCUCUAUCCCUACAAAGACGGUGAGUAAAAAACAUCAUCGUUCUCUUUAUUUAAUUACAGUUAUGCCACCGUGACACAUUCUAAGACGGUUCAUUAGAACCGCCUUAGAAUGUGCAUCGUAAAAUUGUCUUUUUUAGUAGUGAAACCUAUAUAUAUUUUGUAACUCCUAUCAAAAACAAUUUAUAAAAAUAAAUUGAAACUUUCAUUUUCUAACUUUUACAAAAAUGAGAUGUUUAUUAAACAAAAUUGAGCCUUUUUUAAGACAAAAUUGAGACUUUUAAUUUAAAAUUACAAAUUAACCUUGGAAUGUAGGAAAUCAUUAUUCGAUUACAAAUGUUACAAGAAGUGCAAAAGAGAGGACAAAACUAUCAUAUUGUAACACAAAACAUCUUGCAUUUUGCAUUUGGUGUCCAAUAGCGUGUGUUUGGUGGAAUCGAAAUAGCAAAGAGCAGGAAGGAAGGUACGCGGAAGUGUACAUAAAUCUUCACUCUUUUGAAGUUUGGCAUACUAGAAAUAUCCAAGGAAGUUUUUGAAAAAACAUGGGUCCCACCACCAAGCAAAAAUUUUG